rnacentral:lncRNA from 1 species
UUUUGAUCAGUUAUUCCAAAUGAUAGUAAGAUCAUUGUGAUGAAAUGAUUAGACAGUCACCUCAGAUGUAAUUUGUGAAUUGCAUUUUGAAAUGGUAAUACUUUGAUGUUUAGUUGGAAUGACUUUCAAUCAAAAAAAAAAAAAAUACUGUGUAUUGUAUCCAAGCAAUUGGGGAAAAAGUCUGGACUUAUGAAAAAUAUGCACUUUGAUAGUCGUUGAUGAAUCUAGAGAUUUACAUCGAGAUUUUAUCAGUGAUUUUAAAACUGUAUUAAUGAAAACAGAGACACCUAGAGAGGGCAUCCAGAAAUAAGCAACAGACAACAGAGAAGAACUACAAGCCCCAUGACCCUCCGCGGUUCCGCCUACAGCAAGACGCAUGUGCGUCUGACGUCACAUGCUGGCUUGUUUUGGCCGUUUGUUUCGAUAUCCGGCGAUCAUACGCUUUCGAUGUGCUGGAUAUUGUGACUGAGAGGGUUUCGAAGCAUGCUACGUGAGAUCAGCUCGUCUGUUCUGCCAGUCUACUGGAAUUAACAGGCUGUGUUUCAAAACCUAGUUCCUGUGUGUGUGCAUGGGUGUUUGUGGGAGAGAGAAGGUGGACGACUCAGGGAGUCUGUGUGUCUUAUCAUGGCUGACGGGUCCAGUGAUGAUGAUGUCAUCCACCUGGCUAGUUUCAACACCCAUCGCAGUCGAGCUAAAAGAGUUAGGACGAAGACGUCCUACAUAA